UUGUUCAUUGUCACUUUCAGACUGACAGUUAACUUUUUCAAUAGAGUCGCCGCCUCUUAUUAUAUUUUAUUCUUUUUUUAUUAAACAUUUUCAAUAAUUUAUUUCUUAUAAAAAUAAAUUUAAUUUUUACUUACAUAAUACAUUUUAUUAUCUUUCUAUACUAAAGUAAUGAUGCCAUUUAUUGACGUUUGACACUUGACAGUUGACAGUAAACAUAGGUUUCAAUAUCGGAGACUGACCGCUUUGUUUUUCAAAAUCCAUUGUAUUUUAUUGAUCGCUUCAUAUAGAUUUUUUUUUGUUUUUACUGAAUGAAACAAGGUCUAUCCUUGAAUUAAAUUUUAUAAUAAGCACCACGUAGCCGUAGCCAUUCCAGCGCAAAUUGAAAAAAUAUGAUUCCAAAUGAAAUUUUUGCUGAAGAUAUGAUGAGCACUGUGAUACGAUACGGCUUGUACUUAGGUGCAGCAUUUCAAUUGGUAUGUUUAUUAGCAUGUGUAACGCUAACUGAUGAACAAAGUGAACCACAUCCAUAUGAAAAGGCCUAUACUGACAGCGAUGAAUGUAGCUCUGAGCAAUCAUCUCCCGGCCAUCGUGCCACAGUAUCCCGUGCCAGGCGUCAUGAUAAAAAAAAGCGACGUUAAAGGAACUAUGUAGAAAAAUUCCUCUAUAUUCCGUAGCUAGAUGGUAUAAGUCUACGCUAUCAUUAGAUUUAAGAGCAAUUACUAUGUAAUCUAUUAUUUUAUUUUAUAUUAAUACUAUGUAA